rnacentral:rRNA from 1 species
AUUGAACGCUGGCGGCAUGCUUUACACAUGCAAGUCGAACGGGGUGGAGGGGCAACCUUCCAUUCAGUGGCGAACGGGUGAGUAAUGCAUCGGGACGUGUCCCGUAGUGGGGGAUAACGCCGGGAAACCGGCGCUAAUACCGCAUAUGCUCUACGGCGGAAAGUGGGGGACCUGAAGGGGCCUCACGCUAUGGGCGGCGCCGAUGUCCGAUUAGCUAGUUGGCGGGGUAAAGGCCCACCAAGGCGACGAGCGGUAGCUGGUCUGAGAGGAUGAUCAGCCACACUGGGACUGAGACACGGCCCAGACUCCUACGGGAGGCAGCAGUGGGGAAUUUUGGACAAUGGGGGCAACCCUGAUCCAGCCAUGCCGCGUGCGGGAAGAAGGCCUUCGGGUUGUAAACCGCUUUUAGCCGGAAAGAAAAGGCGGAGGCUAAUACCCUCCGUUCUUGACGGUACCGGCGGAAUAAGCACCGGCUAACUACGUGCCAGCAGCCGCGGUAA